CCUACGGGAGGCAGCAGUGAGGAAUAUUGGUCAAUGGGCGCGAGCCUGAACCAGCCAAGUAGCGUGAAGGAUGACUGCCCUACGGGUUGUAAACUUCUUUUAUAAAGGAAUAAAGUGAGGCACGUGUGCCUUUUUGUAUGUACUUUAUGAAUAAGGAUCGGCUAACUCCGUGCCAGCAGCCGCGGUAAUACGGAGGAUGCGAGCGUUAUCCGGAUUUAUUGGGUUUAAAGGGUGCGUAGGUUGUUUUUUAAGUCAGCGGGGAAAGUUUGUGGCUCAACCAUAAAAUUGCCGUUGAAACUGGAAGACGUGAGUGUGUUUGAGGUAGGCGGAAUGCGUGGUGUAGCGGUGAAAUGCAUAGAUAUCACGCAGAUCUCCGAUUGCGAAGGCAGCUUACUAAGCCAUAACUGACACUGAAGCACGAAAGCGUGGGGAUCAAACAGGAUUAGAUACCCGGGUAGUC
rnacentral:rRNA from 1 species